rnacentral:misc_RNA from 1 species
GAUGAAGAACGCAGCGAAAUGCGAUACGUAAUGUGAAUUGCAGAAUUCAGUGAAUCAUCGAAUCUUUGAACGCACAUUGCGCCUCCUGGUAUUCCGGGAGGCAUGCCUGUUCGAGCGUCAUUAAAAUCACUCAAGCUUAGGUUUACCUAUUGCUUGGUCUUGGAGAUGGAAGCCAAUUCAUUGGAAUCCUCUUCGAAAUCCAAUGGCGAAGACCCUUGCUCUCCCAAGUGUAGUAAUAACUUAUGUCACUGAAGGAAGCGAGAAAUCUUCCGCCGUAACCCCCAUAUUUUCUAUGAUUGACCUCGGAUCAGGUAGGGAUACCCGCUGAACUUAAGCAUAUCAAUAAGCGGAGGA